rnacentral:rRNA from 1 species
CUCGUGUCGUGAGAUGUUGGGUUAAGUCCCGCAACGAGCGCAACCCUUGUUCACUGUUGCCAGCACGUUAUGGUGGGGACUCAGUGGAGACCGCCGGGGUCAACUCGGAGGAAGGUGGGGAUGACGUCAAGUCAUCAUGCCCCUUAUGUCCAGGGCUUCACGCAUGCUACAAUGGCUGGUACAGAGAGUGGCGAGCCUGUGAGGGUGAGCGAAUCUCGGAAAGCCGGUCUCAGUUCGGAUUGGGGUCUGCAACUCGACCUCAUGAAGUCGGAGUCGCUAGUAAUCGCAG